rnacentral:rRNA from 1 species
AACGAACGCUGGCGGCAGGCCUAACACAUGCAAGUCGAACGCUCCGCAAGGAGAGUGGCAGACGGGUGAGUAACGCGUGGGAAUCUUCCUAUCGGUACGGAAUAGCUCAGGGAAACUUGGGGUAAUACCGCAUACGCCCUUACGGGGAAAGAUUUAUCGCCGAUAGAUGAGCCCGCGUCUGAUUAACUAGUUGGUGAGGUAACGGCUCACCAAGGCGACGAUCAGUAGCUGGUCUGAGAGGAUGACCAGCCACACUGGGACUGAGACACGGCCCAGACUCCUACGGGAGGCAGCAGUGGGGAAUAUUGGACAAUGGGCGCAAGCCUGAUCCAGCCAUGCCGCGUGAGUGACGAAGGUCUUCGGAUUGUAAAGCUCUUUUGGCGGGGACGAUAAUGACGGUACCCGCAGAAUAAGCCCCGGCUAACUUCGUGCCAGCCGCCGCCGUAACAC